ACGCUGGCGGCGUGCUUAACACAUGCAAGUCGAACGGUGAAGAGGAGCUUGCUUCUUGGAUCAGUGGCGAACGGGUGAGUAACACGUGAGUAACCUGCCCCAAACUCUGGGAUAAGCACUGGAAACGGUGUCUAAUACCGGAUACGAGCUUCAGCCGCAUGGCUAGGAGUUGGAAAGAAUUUCGGUUUGGGAUGGACUCGCGGCCUAUCAGCUAGUUGGUGAGGUAAUGGCUCACCAAGGCGACGACGGGUAGCCGGCCUGAGAGGGUGACCGGCCACACUGGGACUGAGACACGGCCCAGACUCCUACGGGAGGCAGCAGUGGGGAAUAUUGCACAAUGGGCGCAAGCCUGAUGCAGCAACGCCGCGUGAGGGACGACGGCCUUCGGGUUGUAAACCUCUUUUAGUAGGGAAGAAGCGAAAGUGACGGUACCUGCAGAAAAAGCACCGGCCAACUACGUGCCAGCAGCCGCGGUAAUACGUAGGGUGCAAGCGUUGUCCGGAAUUAUUGGGCGUAAAGAGCUCGUAGGCGGUUUGUCGCGUCUGCUGUGAAAACCCGAGGCUCAACCUCGGGCCUGCAGUGGGUACGGGCAGACUAGAGUGCGGUAGGGGAGAUUGGAAUUCCUGGUGUAGCGGUGGAAUGCGCAGAUAUCAGGAGGAACACCAAUGGCGAAGGCAGAUCUCUGGGCCGUAACUGACGCUGAGGAGCGAAAGCAUGGGGAGCGAAC
rnacentral:rRNA from 1 species